rnacentral:rRNA from 1 species
GACGAACGCUGGCGGCGUGCUUAACACAUGCAAGUCGAGCGGAAAGGCCACUUCGGUGGUACUCGAGCGGCGAACGGGUGAGUAACACGUGAGUAAUCUGCCCCUGGCUUUGGGAUAGCCACCGGAAACGGUGAUUAAUACCGGAUAUGACCACGUCUCGCAUGGGGUGUGGUGGAAAGUUUUUCGGCCAGGGAUGUGCUCGCGGCCUGUCAGCUUGAUGGUGAGGUAAUGGCUCACCAUGGCUUCGACGGGUAGCCGGCCUGAGGGGGUGACCGGUCACACUGGGACUGAGACACGGCCCAGACUCCUACGGGAGGCAGCAGUGGGGAAUAUUGGACAAUGGGCGGAAGCCUGAUCCAGCAACGCCGCGUGAGGGAUGACGGCCUUCGGGUUGUAAACCUCUUUCAGUACCGACGAAGCGCAAGUGACGGUAGGUACAGAAGAAGCACCGGCCAACUACGUGCCAGCCGCCGCGGUAA